GAUAAACGCUGGCGGUAUGCUUAACACAUGCAAGUCGAACGGACUCUUCGGAGUUAGUGGCGGACGGGUGAGUAACGCGUGAGAAUCUGGCUUCUGGUUCGGGAUAACAGUGGGAAACGACUGCUAAUACCGGAUGUGCCUGCGGGUAAAAGGCUUGCUGCCAGAAGAUGAGCUCGCGUCUGAUUAGCUAGUUGGUGGGGUAAGAGCCUACCAAGGCGACGAUCAGUAGCUGGUCUGAGAGGAUGAUCAGCCACACUGGGACUGAGACACGGCCCAGACUCCUACGGGAGGCAGCAGUGGGGAAUUUUCCGCAAUGGGCGAAAGCCUGACGGAGCAAUACCGCGUGAGGGAAGAAGGCUCUUGGGUUGUAAACCUCUUUUCUCAGGGAAUAAGAAAGUGAAGGUACCUGAGGAAUCAGCAUCGGCUAACUCCGUGCCAGCAGCCGCGGUAAUACGGAGGAUGCAAGCGUUAUCCGGAAUGAUUGGGCGUAAAGCGUCCGCAGGUGGUUAUUCAAGUCUGCCGUUAAAGAGUCUGGCUUAACCAGAUAAAGGCGGUGGAAACUGAAAGACUAGAGUGCGGUAGGGGCAGAGGGAAUUCCCAGUGUAGCGGUGAAAUGCGUA
rnacentral:rRNA from 1 species